rnacentral:sRNA from 1 species
UUUCCGGCGCGCCGGCCACGGUACAUCCGGGUUCUGGGGUAGCAGAGGCGGUCUUCUCGCGCGGAUUGUGAAGCUGAAUUUGGUACGCUGGACCCUCGGAGAGACAGCAAGAGAGAGACAAGCCUGAGGCCUGACUUCUAGCACUCCUGAGUUUGAGCCCUAUGAGCAGUGGAACUAGGGUAAGUUACUAACUUCUCUGAACCUCCUUUUUCUUAUCUGAAGCGUGAAAACUAACGGUGCCUACCUCGCAGAAGUGUCUUGAUGCAGACAGUUGAUAAUCGGUCUCAAGCGACCAGCAUGUACCUAGCGUCUACUGAUAAGGGCUUCAUAACUUGUGACUACUCAGGGCUUAUUACCACUUAACUAUGCCCACGCAGGCAGUGGUAUUAUUUAACUUUAUGUAUUUGAGAUUCACCACCUUUUCUGAAAACCCUUCUGUCCUAAACACUCCUGGAAGAGGUUGGGACCUGUUGCACCCAACCGGUGCACCAGUGAGUAGAAGAAGGCAGAGAUAACGUUUUUCCAGAGGUGACCAGAGUUUGACACUGCCUGUGGAAGUAGUGAACUCCGUGUGCCUUAAGGCCGCUUUC